UUCUCCGACUCUGCCCUCCCAG
rnacentral:miRNA from 1 species